GACGAACGCUGGCGGCGUGCCUAAUACAUGCAAGUAGAACGCUGAAGGAGGAGCUUGCUCUUCUGGAUGAGUUGCGAACGGGUGAGUAACGCGUAGGUAACCUGCCUGGUAGCGGGGGAUAACUAUUGGAAACGAUAGCUAAUACCGCAUAAGAGUAGAUGUUGCAUGACAUUUGCUUAAAAGGUGCAAUUGCAUCACUACCAGAUGGACCUGCGUUGUAUUAGCUAGUUGGUGGGGUAACGGCUCACCAAGGCGACGAUACAUAGCCGACCUGAGAGGGUGGUCGGCCACACUGGGACUGAGACACGGCCCAGACUCCUACGGGAGGCAGCAGUAGGGAAUCUUCGGCAAUGGACGGAAGUCUGACCGAGCAACGCCGCGUGAGUGAAGAAGGUUGUCGGAUCGGAAAGCUCUGUUGUAAGAGAAGAACGAGUGUGAGAGUGGAAAGUUCACACUGUGACGGUAUCUGACCAGAAAGGGACGGCUAACUACGUG
rnacentral:rRNA from 1 species